AGCGAACGCUGGCGGCAGGCCUAACACAUGCAAGUCGAACGAAGUCUUCGGACUUAGUGGCGGACGGGUGAGUAACACGUGGGAACGUGCCUUUAGGUUCGGAAUAACUCAGGGAAACUUGUGCUAAUACCGAAUGUGCCCUUCGGGGGACAAAUUUAUCGCCUUUAGAGCGGCCCGGGUCUGAUUAGCUAGUUGGUGAGGUAAAGGCUCACCAAGGCGACGAUAAGUAGCUGGUCUGAGAGGAUGAUCAGCCACAUUGGGACUGAGACACGGCUCAAACUCCUACGGGAGGCAGCAGUGGGGAAUCUUGCGCAAUGGGCGAAAGCCUGACGCAGCCAUGCCGCGUGAAUGAUGAAGGUCUUAGGAUUGUAAAAUUCUUUCACCGGGGACGAUAAUGACGGUACCCGGAGAAGAAGCCCCGGCUAACUUCGUGCCAGCAGCCGCCGUAAUAC
rnacentral:rRNA from 1 species